rnacentral:rRNA from 1 species
AUUGAACGCUGGCGGAAUGCUUUUCACAUGCAAGUCGAACGGCAGCAUAGGUGCUUGCACCUGAUGGCGAGUGGCGAACGGGUGAGUAAUAUAUCGGAACGUGCCCAGUCGUGGGGGAUAACGUAGUGAAAAUUACGCUAAUACCGCAUACGAUCUAGGGAUGAAAGCGGGGGAUCGCAAGACCUCGCGCGAUUGGAACGGCCGAUAUCAGAUUAGGUAGUUGGUGAGGUAAAGGCUCACCAAGCCAACGAUCUGUAGCUGGUCUGAGAGGACGACCAUCCACACUGGAACUGAGACACGGUCCAGACUCCUACGGGAGGCAGCAGUGGGGAAUUUUGGACAAUGGACUCAAGUCUGAUCCAGCCAUUCCGCGUGCAGGACGAAGGCCUUCGGGUUGUAAACUGCUUUUGUACAGAACGAAAAGGUCUCUAUUAAUACUAGGGGCUCAUGACGGUACUGUAAGAAUAAGCACCGGCUAACUACGUGCCAGCAGCCGCCGUAA